rnacentral:rRNA from 1 species
GUACACGCUGUGACUAGCAUAUCAAUAAGCGGAGGAAAAGAAACUAACAAGGAUUCCCCUAGUAACGGCGAGUGAAGCGGGAAGAGCUCAAAUUUGAAAUCUUAAAGGGUUUCCCUUUACGAAUUGUAGUUUAAAGAAGUGUUUUCUGUUGAGGUUUUGGUAAAAGUUCUUUGGAAUAGGACAUCAUAGAGGGUGAGAAUCCCGUAUUUGACCUUUACUUUCAACUUUGUGAUACACUUUCAAAGAGUCGGAUUGUUUGGGAAUGCAGUCCAAAAUGGGUGGUAAAUUUCAUCUAAAGCUAAUAUUGGCGAGAGACCGAUAGCGAACAAGUACCGUGAGGGAAAGAUGAAAAGAACUUUGAAAAGAGAGUUAAACAGUACGUGAAAUUGUCAAAAGGGAAGCGUUUGACACCAGUGUUGUUUUUCUGAAAAUCAAUUAAAGAACUGUUUAUGCUAAAUUCGUUUAGACUUUAUCAGCUAACUGUUUAGUUUUGAGCUUUUCUUUAAUGCACUUUUCAGUUAACAAGUCGACAUCAAUUUCUUUUGCUGUAAAAAAGCUCGAGGAAGGUGGCUUGAGAUUCGUCUUAGGUGUUUAUAGCCUCUUGCCUAUGCAGUCGGAGAGAUUGAGGUCUGCAGCGUAGAUCCUUCGGGGCUAAAUGCAUUUGUGCUAAGUUAUAGCAUUUUCAUAGACAACUUGUUGACUAUGAUUUGUCUUGUAGCUUACUCGCUUAUGUUAUUUUACCUACGCUUAGGAUGUUGAGUCGUAGAGCACGCAG